CUAGACAGGGGGCACGAAUAACUCAAGCCGCCUAAUAUAUUCAAAAAUAUGACGUUAUGGAGAAGUUAGGCCAAAAAUAGACGUCUUGUUUACCUACAGUUGCACUAAAUGCAUCAGGAUUUUACUGGGUGUGUUUGUAGGCCUGUCUGUAUAUUCUGUGAAUGGACUCUAAAUCUGAAUGUACAGUCUGUUAUGUCUGAAUGGUGUUCUCUCUCAUUAUCUAGGCUGUUCGUCCAAGUCAUUCAAGCUGUAUUCCCCAAAGGAGCCCCCUAACGGUAGUGCCUUCCCUCCAUUUCACCCAGGCGCAAUGCUGGAUAGAGAUGUGGGUCCGACACCGAUGUAUCCCCCCUCUUACAUGGAGCCUGGAAUAGGGAGGCACACACCGUAUGGAAAUCAAACAGACUACAGAAUAUUUGAGCUCAACAAAAGACUACAGAAUUGGUCAGAGGUAAAAAAAAA